CUUAAAAUUUGCCGCCCUGGGCGGCCGCCUGGUCCGCUCACCCCUGGGGCCGGCCCUGCAUUUAAGUCUCUAGCUAUCACAAUCCUAUAAUCGGAGUGUCUAUUCGAUAAAACAAGCAAGUACUACUACUACUGGUACCGCUUUAAAUAAAUAUAACUGGGCAAGAUUGACUCCUCACAUAAUAUUCAACUUGCAUACCAACUUGUUGACAAAUUACUCACCUCCAGCUCUGUAUGAAGACAGAGCGCGUUGAUCAAAAUCGAUUACUUAUAUACAGCUUUGAUCUUGAUACGAUUAAAUUAUUUUUUGACGUUUGCAAUAAUAUCUGUGGUUUGAGUAAAUGCACAAAGAAUUAUUAUUUUUAUUAAGUAAUAAGUUCUACUACCUGGCCACUCUAUACAUCUAAUGUUCUACACAGCAUAUGAUUAGAUGACCAAUCUCUUUGUGCUAGUGACGCAGCCCCUUCUCCCUUGUCCUUGACAAAAGCAGCAAGCACUCUAAGCAGCAAAGUUUUUGUAGUUUCUAAAUUCAUUUAGAUAAAACGCCAUUUUCUAGCUGUCCUGAGAAUUAUAGAAUUGAAGAGAGUCAUUAUCGUUAUCAAAGAAAUUAAAGAAUGGCAACAAGGAAGAAAGUGCUCCUG